rnacentral:piRNA from 1 species
AUUGGUGCUGGGAAUUGAACUCUUCUG